AGGACCAGCAAGUAGGACUGAGGAGCAAGGAGCUUGGUGAAUUUGAGAUUGGUUCCUUCGUUGAUUUGGUGAUUUGAGUAUUGGAUUGGUUGGGUUUCUGAUCUGGAUAUUCUGAGCAGUAUUCUUCAUGUUUUUUUAAGAGAAAUAUAACAUGCUACCUGCUUUGCUUAUUUCUUUUAGAAAUAAACUCAGCUAAAUAUGUGAAGUAACUGGCUUUGAACUUGGGAUCUCGGGUACCAACGACCAAGCCCUUUGCCACUUGCGCAAGGGACGGUCAGUAGCAGUAGUCUUUGUCACGCCCCAGGGUCCCUUUUUGAAAUCCAAUUUGAAAUCGGACUAUCUUUAAAAAUCAGAGUUAGCAAAAAACUGCCCCUUCUCCCCUCUUUUUUUUUUUGACCUUGACCCAGGGACGUAACAGACUCACCACAAAUAUAGAGAAUUUUCGAAACAAAUAGACAGAAUCUUCCUUAUAUUUGCACGGCGUAGCACAUAUACAAUUAACAACCAGACUUUCACUCGCAUACACAACGAUACAAGAUGUACAAGGAUCACUAAUUUCACAUCAUACAACUAACGAUCCUUAGUCACAUCCAUUUACGUUCAUUC
rnacentral:lncRNA from 1 species